rnacentral:rRNA from 1 species
UACAGAGGUCUCAAGCGUUGUUCGGAUUCAUUGGGCGUAAAGGGUGCGUAGGCGGCGCGGUAAGUCGGGUGUGAAAUCUCGGAGCUUAACUCCGAAACUGCAUUCGAUACUGCCGUGCUUGAGGACUGGAGAGGAGACUGGAAUUUACGGUGUAGCGGUGAAAUGCGUAGAUAUCGUAAGGAAGACCAGUGGCGAAGGCGGGUCUCUGGACAGUUCCUGACGCUGAGGCACGAAAGCUGGGGGAGCAAACGGG